AUUGUUUGAGAUAAGUGGACCC
rnacentral:miRNA from 1 species